rnacentral:lncRNA from 1 species
CAGGAAAAGACUUAUUAGGUCUAAGAAAUUGUAAUAUAAUAUAAGCUCAGUUUCGAAGCCUGAUUGAUUAUCGAAUAGCGAGGUUCUUCUCUUGUAUUAUUUCUAAAUAUGGAUGAGACCAUGAAAAAGUUUCAAAGCAAAUUAACAGAGGUUGAAUUGGUAGCUGAACAUCUACUUUUAGCCCGACAUCAGAGUGUUGAGAAUGAUAGAUUGCGAAAUGGGAAUAGAGAAGCACUUACUGCAUUAAGGAAAAGGGCUCAGACAACCAAGAGUAGUGUCCCGCCGCCCUUUGAAUCAAUAAUGAAAGGAGUUUCCGGGACCGGCUCAAAACCUUUGGUGCAAGAGGUGUGUACUGUCUGUGGCAAUCAUGACUCUUUCGAGCAGACCUGGAUGAUGUUUCCAGGAACUGAUCUGUUUGCUAGAAUUCCCUUUCAUGCUGCUCACACUAUAUUGGAAACAGGUCCUUCAUUCUUUCCUUAUCCUAAAUUACAUGAUAAUCAUCAUGCAAAAAUAUAACUUAAGAAAAUGCUGUCAAUGCAUGUCUGCGUUAGUAUAUCUUUUUAUUUGAUGGACCAAAAGGCUUGAUUGGCCAUUACCUUAAUUUUGUAUAUGUGUGCAUUCUACAGUAGCAGAGUAUUUAAGUGCAGUUGUAGUUGCAUAUAUGUUGCGUUUACCACAAUUGCGGAAGAUUGUGGUUAAAUGCUGCUGAUGUGACCACAAUUGCGGAAGAUUGUGGUUAAAUGCUGCUGAUGUGACCACAAUUACGAUGUCGUUGCGGAGACUUCCAUAAUAGCAAUAUUGUUGCCACAAUUGAUGUUCAGACCAGAAUUUAAUACCUUAUAUAGUAGUGAUGUUUCCCAGUCACCCAUAAUGCAAUUUUGACAUAUUUUUCUGUGGGCUUGAAACAUAUUUGCUCAGUGCAAUUUGAGAUCCCCACUUAUAUAACCGGAUAGGAAUGCAAGCAUGGUUUUAUUUAUUAGUUUGGAUUCUGGAUCAAAAAAUGGCAUUCCUAUUUGAUAGAGAGAUGAUAUGUAGAAGCAAUAGUAUGUCUCUGCUAUAUUAACUGUUUCUGUUUUGUUGGUUUUGUAAAUGUUCAUAACAUUCUUGAUUAUUAUUAGUUUUGUGGAAGAACUAAAGCUUUGAC